AACGAACGCUGGCGGCGUGCUUAACACAUGCAAGUCGAACGAUGAAGCCGGAGCUUGCUCUGGUGAAUUAGUGGCGAACGGGUGAGUAACACGUGAGUAACCUGCCCUUGACUCUGGGAUAACUGCGGGAAACUGUAGCUAAUACCGGAUACGACCCUCGGCGGCAUCGCCAGGGGGUGGAAAGAAUUUCGGUCAAGGAUGGACUCGCGGCCUAUCAGCUAGUUGGUGAGGUAACGGCUCACCAAGGCGACGACGGGUAGCCGGCCUGGGAGGGUGACCGGCCACACUGGGACUGAGACACGGCCCAGACUCCUACGGGAGGCAGCAGUGGGGAAUAUUGCACAAUGGGCGCAAGCCUGAUGCAGCACGCCGCGUGAGGGAUGACGGCCUUCGGGUUGUAAACCUCUUUUAGUAGGGAAGAAGCGAAAGCGACGGUACCUGCAGAAAAAGCACCGGCUAACUACGUGCCAGCCGCCGCCGUAA
rnacentral:rRNA from 1 species